CUAAAAGGAAACGCAUUUUCGAGUUGCACAUCAUGAUCAGGCACAGAGUCCAGAUACACUUGGAGUAGCAAGCAUCCAUCCUUGUGGAGACGCACAUGAACCAGGACUCUCUGCACCCACCCCUCUCAAGUUUUAUUUUCCGACGGCUGUAAUGUUCCAGGACACCUGCCAUCAUGGAGGGUUAUCCAGCACCUGGAGGAUACCUGCUACCUAUUUUGUGAACAAUUUGGC
rnacentral:lncRNA from 1 species